rnacentral:tRNA from 1 species
AAGUAAGAAGCAAAGUUUUGCGUUUAGUUUCGGCCUAAAAGUUGAUUAAUGUCCUUAUUUA